UAUGUCUGUGUGGUUAGGAAGCCUGAUUUGCAACCAUGUAGGUUCAAGUGCAGCGUUAUUUACGAUCAAUGCCUUACGCACGAAUUUGGUAAAUGGAAACUUCCCUUUGAAAUGUUUUACUUUGUGGUUUUCGGUCGUUUAUGACUGCCUUCUAGUAUGUAGAAGUUACCUGUUAUGGGCACACGUCCUUUUUUGCAAAUGCCUGUGUAGUCGCGAAGAGAAGGUGGGGGCCACCGUGGCCAUCACCCCGACCACCACGACCACUAUCACUACCACAACUAAACUCCCACUACAAAUAAUACCCGUACUACUACUACUACUACUACUACUACUACUACUACUACUACUACUACAACAUAAAUGCGAAACAAGGUGGAAAAACAAGGUGCAAAAAAUAGUACUCGAAAACCAGAGGUAAAUUUCAAUCUCACCCGUCUCAUCUUAUCUCAACGAACAAAGGACUUUUAAGUGCUGUCUCAAGGUCGUUCCACUGCCACCACCACACCGGCCACUACCACCACCACCACUACCACCACCACCACUACCAACACCACCAUUACCAGCUCACCGGUAAGACGAUGAUGAGGAAGUCGAUCACCGACACCACGCCCACGACUGACACCACCACCAGUAUGAACAACAACAGCACUACCACUGUACUGCGACGUCGACAACGACCAACACCACCGCCGCUGCCACCCUCACUACCAUCACCGCCACCACGUCCUCUCCACCCCCGCAAAAUACAUACUUAUCAAGUGUCAUUGCUACUCCUCCUACAUUCUCUCCCACCACCCGCUGUUACAGGAAUAUCAACUCAUACACGGGGCCGCCAAAAUGCUUAAACUGGAAAGGAUAACCGUCCAGCCGCCUCGCAAAGAAGUUUUACCUUCUCGGUAGAAGAAACCCAUAUAAGGCAAUGCAGUCGUACACAGCACUAAUAAUAAACGGCAUGGUCAUUGCGGGAAUGUCUCUGAUUGCAAGUCUACUGUUGAACCAUGAUUGGCUUACAACAACUAUAGAAACAACACCAUUAAAAAUUCUGCAGAGGUGAGCUGUCAUUGAAACAUCUAGAUGUCCCGGAAGCUCCCUGCAUGGUAGAUAUAUACAUAUUUAUAUCUUAUGACUUCUACAGAAAAUUCAAGCAACAAUUUGUAGUUUCCAUUGAUUUUUGCAAAUAAAAAAGAAAAAAAAUUCAACCAAACUUAUCAGUCACAUAAUACGAAAUGAAGAACAACUGCUAUUUUCUUAUUCUACGUCAAAUCUUCCGCAAGUUAAUGAUUGCUUAAUGAUUGCUUAAUAUAUAUAUAUAUAUAUAUAUAUAUAUAUAUAUGUUAUAUAUUUCUAUAUAUCCAUGUAUAUGUUCAUGUAUGUAUGUA